rnacentral:rRNA from 1 species
UACGUAGGGUGCAAGCGUUAAUCGGAAUUACUGGGCGUAAAGCGCGCGCAGGCGGUGAUGUAAGACAGAUGUGAAAUCCCCGGGCUCAACCUGGGAACUGCAGUUGUGACUGCAUCGCUGGAGUGCGGCAGAGGGGGAUGGAAUUCCGCGUGUAGCAGUGAAAUGCGUAGAUAUGCGGAGGAACACCGAUGGCGAAGGCAAUCCCCUGGGCCUGCACUGACGCUCAUGCACGAAAGCGUGGGGAGCAAACAGG